rnacentral:lncRNA from 1 species
CUGGGAGGCCCGCGACGUCCAUUGGCAGUGUGGCGCCUCCUCAAGGUGACCCCUCCUUCGACUCCACUCCACUUCUCCUCUUUAUCCUAGGGUUUGGUUUCGGCUCCACACUGAUGUUGCUGACAAGCGUGUGCGUGUGAUGUCAGGCGGAUGAGAACAUGCGGAUGUGGGAGGCGACGUGCAUGGGUAUGGCACAGUAGCCCUGCGGCGACGGCCGGGUGUUCGCCGGUAAGAGGACCAUUACGUGUGUCUGCUACUCUGCUUCCUAUCCUACUACUAGCACCGCGUUAUCACUGUUGCUGUAUUGAGGUAUUCAGGAGCUAUUUUUCGCUUUCUUACGAUCUGCUUCCGCGGUCCAUUUUAUUCCACUAUUGUUGUUCACCUAAGUAGGCAGCCAAAUGUGAACUUUUUAACUAGUUAACCAAGCAACACCGAAGAGCAUUUUUUAACCAGUUAAUCAUAUCACCUAAUCCUUACAAAAUCAGGAGGCUACGGACUGAUAUCCUUGUCUGCUGCAUUUAAUGUAUAGAACCCCUAAAGAGUGAAAAUGAGAAUUUGAAAGAUUUUAUACAAAUCUUGGAGCCGGAGAACGAGAAGCUUAAGGUACCUUACCGAAACAUGAGUUGCAUCUCAGCCGGCUUGUGCACCCUGUCAAUUUUCUGAACUCUUAUUUUGUGCUUCUUAUAAAGUGAUAGCAGCAAUUUUCCCAGUGGCAAGAGUGCGCGGGCGAUGAGGCGCGGCGGAGCGCUGCUCGCGAUGACGGGUGGCCUCACUCCACAGGUGCGUGAUUCCGGCUGAAAACCCUCGCCUGAAGCUGUAAUCGGUUCUUUUACCACUCGAUUCGAGCACAUACACCGAGUUCGUCGCCGUCGCCCGUCGCCGUACGCUUGUGUUCGUAUGUCUAGUCUAGCCUGCGAUUGAUGUACAGUUGUGUUUGUCCGUCUAGUCUAGCCUGCGAUUGGGUUUGUUGGUUGGGUUCAGUAGCUAGUAGCUUGUCCCUGUCUAACUGAGCACCAGGCCUUUUUUCAUGCACUGUAUACACAUGCAUGCUUAGUUGAUGCAUAUAUGAUGCUCAAACUGUAAUUGCAAGGCACUGUCUGUCUGCAUUUCAGAUCGAUGCCACUUGAAUUUUCUUUCUUUCUAGGAUACGCACAAGCUUUUGUAUCAUAUAUUCAUAGAAGAAAGUGUCAGACACCCGUCCACCGGAUGCGACUUGAUUUAUGUGCUGUGGCUGCCAAUUUUAAGCCACUUAAUUAAUUCAUGGGUUGCGGUUGAUUGUUGUCGCGGUUGUCGAACAAAGUUAUACUAUCCGACAUGCCUAAUUAUUAUGUUGUUUGUCAUAGGCUGCAAAGAAUCUUGUAGCUGUGGUCGUGGCACGUUCAGUCUCUAGUAUUUUUUAGUAAUGUUCAGUAAUGUUCAUGUUUUGUCUAAUGGAAAGCAGACUAUCAGUCUCGGUGAUGUGAUCUCAAGCACACUGCAGAAUAAUUAAGUAACGCCUCCGUUUUUAAAUAUAAGCCCUUUUUGACAGUUUAAUUUAAACUGCCGACACAAUAUGUAUGUUUAUGAACAGAGUUAGUACUGUACCAGUACGACAAACUCCUUUUAGAAUAGUCUCACUCUUGCAUGUUGGUGUCGCAUUCUGCUACCAGGGAGUAUUUUUCCGCAAGGUGUCAUGUCAGGGCGUGUAUGGGUUGCUGCUUCUGGAGUAGGUAGCUGGAGUUCGACGAUUUGGUGCGUCCUGCUAAGCUUCUGCUCCCUGAUUUUCCACUGAUUUCUUGGUGGAAAGGGAGGCAGGCCUUGUUUGUUUGAUCCAUAGGUUUAGCACUUAGCUACACUCCACAGAAGCAUCUAAUCUGUUAUGUGCUGUUUUUGUUAUGUCAGGCUAAUCUGGGGACCUAUUUCUGUUGUCUUCUACGAUAGCAAAUAAUGCCUAACUUUUGGUAUUCACCCUAGCUAGACCUUGUCUAGAUAAUUCCAUAUUACAAAAUACUAGGAGAGCAAAAACAACAUCAUCCUUUUUCUAGAUAAUUCCACCCAGUUCUGUUGGUUAAAUAUUCAUAGUCAUAGUGAGUGUCCUCCAUUGCAUCAUCAGUCUCUAACAAUCUACUUACUGGAGCCAGGAAAUUGGAUUGAUAGCUCUCAGUCUCUUGCCUCCAUAUGGGGGUUGAUUUCCCUCUUACCUCAUUCGUCUCGGUUCUGUUGUGUAAUGCAGCCUCAUUAGCUAUUUAUCAUUUCCAGUAAAAAAUCACACAUGGCUGGUGAGAUGUACAGUUGUCAAAAUAUGAAAGAAGUAUAAAUUUACCCCUAUUCCAAGCUGGGCCUAAUACAAAUUUGUCAUUUUUUUGUUAAAUAUUGUGCUUCAUGUUUAUUUGUGUUUCUGUAUAGCAUCGUCGCAUCUGGCAGAGUGCUCCCUUUGUUGUUACAGCAGCUUUGUAUAGUUGCUUUUAAUUCAGCUUUGUCUAUUUUCUGGCAGAAUGCUCCCUUUCAACAAUAGCCUUCUUUAAUCUUCUUCAGGUUUCCAAGGGGGUUUUAUUUAUGACAGCCUUGGAGCAGGGAAAACUAACAUGCUACUAAAGCUAACAUGGUACUGAUCCUGAUACACUUAUAAUUUUUGUGAAUGUAAUAUGUGUCUUGUAAAUGCUUGUUUGGUGCUAGUCCUGCUGUAUGUAAUUAUUUUGCGUAUCUUUGUAAUAUUCAAGAGCUCGUUAGUCCUGCCAGGACACGGUUUGAUGGAAAUUCGUCGGAUCCUUUCAUUGUUUCCAUGGUUGAUGCAGUAGUUUCGUACCUGAUGUGUUUGUGCUUGCUUAGUUUAGCUAUUGUAUUUGUUGUGACCUUGCUGCCGCAACUGUGCUUUUCGACCGGGUCGAACUAGUACAACUUUUGUUGUUGUAGCCCAUGCCUCGUGUUGGUGUGUAUUCUAAUGAAUAUUUGUCAACCUGAUGCAUGAUGAUCAUGAUUUUGUAGACAAGUACCAUUCCCCAUUAAAAACCCUCAUGCAUGAUGAUCAUGGUCUCGUUUUUAAGAUCUGUUUUCCUCGUGCUUAAAAUUUGACAUGCCUGAAUGAACUCAUUUUUAGUUCUUUUUAUUUCUAUGAUCAAUUUAAUUAAAGUUUCACAUGUUAGUAUACUAUACAUUAAAAAAUCCUAGCUAGUGAGAAUAUUUUAGUCACUCCAUAAACACAUAUUGGUUAGUGUUAGUCCCCCCCCCCAUACUAUUUUCGUGUUGUGUUUUCCACAAUAAUAUGAUUAAUUAGGUUCCAUCCUCAGCUUUAACGUCUUCUUCCAAAGGUUCUCAUCGAUUAGUACCGUCAACCUGUACAUAUUAUACUAUUUUGUUUACUAUUUUGUUACCUCAUUGGCUACUAUUUUGUUCUUAUUUUUUGCAUAGGUGAAAUGUGAAGCCAAGCGUGAAGUCGUGAAGCCUAUAUGGAAAGAGUAGCAUAUCAAUAUAUUGUAAUAGUAUACUGUAGUAGGCAUAUUUGAGUUGUAGUAGUGUAAAGAUUGUAAUAGACUAAUUUAGUGUUUUUUGGACUAAUUUUAUUUGUUGUGUGAUCUGUUCAUAAUAUUGAUUUCGUAUGUGAUUUGUAUACCUAUGAAAUGGAAACCUCCCAAAUUGUUUGACAAAUUACAAAAUUUAUGGUGUAGAUAUGAAUUAUGAGAUCAGCAUGACAUGUGGGACCAAUGUGACUAGUGGGACCAAUACAAAAAUAAAAUGGCCAAAAGAGAAAAUCAAUAUAAAGUAAAAGGCCACAACCCAAAAUAAAAAGGCUAAAAGUUUGGGGAUUAUUGGGCCAGGACCAUGCAGCUA